rnacentral:rRNA from 1 species
CUGUCCUACGGGGCGCAGCAGUGAGGAAUAUUGGUCAAUGGCCGGAAGGCUGAACCAGCCAAGCCGCGUGAAGGACGAAGGUGCCAAGCAUUGUAAACUUCUUUUGUCAAGGGACAAAAUCAGGCUCGAGAGCCUGACCGAGGGUACUUGAAGAAAAAGCAUCGGCUAACUCCGUGCCAGCAGCCGCGGUAAUACAGAGGAUGCGAGCGUUAUCCGGAUUUAUUGGGUUUAAAGGGUGCGUAGUCGGACUGUUAUGUCCGCGGUAAAAGACCGGGGCUCA